GACGAACGCUGGCGGCGUGCUUAACACAUGCAAGUCGAACGAAGACGCCCGAUCUUGCUUGGUCUGAUUAGUAGCGAACGGGUGUGAGACACGUGAGGAAGCUGCACUUCACUGUAAGAUAACCUCGGGAGAUCGGGGCUAAUAACGGAUAUGAGCUACUGCCGCAUAGGGGGAGAGCACCAGAUUUUCGGUGGAGGAUGGGCUCGGGGCGUAUCAGUUUGUUGGUGAGGUAGUGGCUGACCAAGGCGAUGACGGGUAGCCGGCCCGAGGGGGGGACCGGCCCCACUGGGACUGAGACACGGCCCAGCCUCCUACGGUAGGCAGCAGUGGAGAGUAUUGCACAACGGGCGAGAGCCUGAUGUGGCGACGCCGCGUGAGGGAUGACGGGCUUCGGGUUGUAAACCUCUUUCAGCAGAGAAGAAGCGAAAGUGACGGUACCUGCAGAAGAAGCGCCGGCUAACUACGUG
rnacentral:rRNA from 1 species